CAGGUAUCAUUUCUUAAGGAAAAUGUUCAGGAUGGAAACCUAAAAUACCUUGAGCUUCUCUGGCAUCAGGUCCCCACUUUAUGUUGGACAUAGCUCUAUCUCAUAAUGUCAAGAGCACACAGCUGUUGCUAAGACCAUGGAGGAAUAUUGACUGUUCAAGGAACCACAAGAACGCAAAGAAGGAGGAACAAAUGGGGGAUGAUGAAAUAAACAGGCAGCAGGUGCACAGACUCCUCGCAAUGCAAGGCCACUGCCAGGGAAUGCUGGAGGGGUGAUGCUAGCAAUUGAAGAUUGUCUCUCCUACCCUCUUCAAUGCCUCUUUCAGCAAUAUGAAGUUAAAACCAGAUUAGUGUUGGGUCUGAAGUUCCAAAUCCUGCUGCCUCUGUGAAGUCUUUCUGCUCAUGCUAGAAGCAAUAUCACCUCUUCUAGAAUUGUAAAGUGCCAUUUUCCAUACCACUUAUAAUAUACUGUCUUGUAGAUGUUUUUCUGUCGUCUGUAUUUCAUCCCUCUAAUAGAUGAUAAAUUUCUAGAGGAUGCCUCCCACAGAAAAAGUGCUCAAUAAAUAUCUGUCAUUGGUGAAAACAGAUUAUAGAUGAUAUUUUGUUGGAAGAUUGGAGGCAAAGUCUCAAAGGUAAACCUAUAAUUUUAGGCUCAUUCCCUCCCCCACAAUAUUUGUUGAAUACUUAACAAAUAUUGUUAUUUUUUUUGGUAUUUGACAGGGAUUUUCUCUUUCAAUAUUCUAAGCCCUAUGAGAUUAGCGCUAUUAAUAUUUAUGGUUGGGGAAACAGAGGCAUAGAAAGUUUAAGUAAUUUAUCCAAGGUCACAUUGCCAAAAAAAAUAGGUAGUUUAGACUUGAAACCAGAGAGAACUGAUUCUACAACUGGUGCCUAUAAAGUUUGCACAUCUUACUUCACCCCAUCUCAUUUGGACAUAGUUUGGAAUGGACUUAGGAGGUCUGAGUAUCAAGAAUCUGUGGCUCAUGCAAUAUCAAAUCCCUUAGACAUAUUUCAGUCAUUGCCAAAACAUGAUUUCAAUUAUCAAGUUUUCAGUGAAGUUCUGAUAGUGCUAAUCUUUACCCAUCAAGAAAGAGGAGAGGUGCCAAGCCCCCUGAAGAGCUAUUCCAGUUGGAGCCUGAUGUGAAGGUGGUGGUGCGUAUAAUUCCACCUCAUUAGUCAAGCCCGAAGUGUUGUAGAUAUGCCACAUUGCAUUGAAUCUAUGAUUCCAUGGAAGGCAAGAUGUACUAUCUUUAUUAUAUUAUUAAGAAAGAGAAAAAUAACUGCCAAAAUAAACAUGCUACAAUGAUUUUUCAUUACUUGGGCUUUUAAAAAUGUUAUACUUACUGAAAGCACUCUUUUAGUCUUGUUUAGGCAUGCAAACAAUAUGAAUUUCUUAAGGUUUUAUAUCUGAAAUCUGACUAUCCAAUGUCUAUGUUUUCCAGAUAAUAUCAUCCUCUAUGCCACUGAGAGUAUUAGUAAGGCAGUAUUUCUGAAAGAGCACUCCACCACUACCUCUGGGAUUUUCUUGCAAGCUACUGAUACCAUCUUUGCAAGAAUGGAGGCAAACAUUCAGGCUACCAGAAUUUAAUCUCUGUAAUUUCCUUGCCAACAGCCAUAAUAAAUGCUUCUUGUUUUCAGGUGAGGUGAAAUGUGAAAAAGUGUUCAUCAGAAUUGGUGAAAUAUGGCAAUUACAACUUUAUUUAAAACAAUGCACGUCACUUUUUGAAAAUAUUUGAAAACUUCUGCUAUAGUCAAAAGAACCUUGGUCUUAAGGAAUCAGAGGACCUGGGUUGAAUACUAGUUCUCUUGACUACCUAUGGCAAGUAACAUAAACUGUCUUAACUUCCUCUGAGGAAUAAGCAAUUUACCUUGUGGGGUGAUUGCAAGAAUUAAAAGAAAAUUUAAAUUCCACAAAAGCAGAAAUAAUUCUAUCCUGUUUGCCACGAUCUUUCUAUUCUCUCAAGAAGUAACAGGGACCUAGAAAGAAUAAAUGAAACAAUGAAUGAACAGUUAAUACAUAGCAAACUACAUGUAGAACUGUCUGUGUUGGAAUGUUGCCAUGGUGGAAGGCAGUAUGUUCUAGGAGAAAAUGCAGCAAAAAAUGUUUCAGUAAGGAACAUUCUUUAGUCCCUCUCUCUAUUUUUCCCCAGUCAUUUUGUGGUUUUGGCUGCUAUUGGCUUGUAUCUGCUUCCCAAAUGCUAGUAAUUUCUUCCAAUCUAAAGUUGCUUGUUUAUUUUCUUGUAUAUUGUAAAACAAAGGCAACAUAAUUGCAGGCCAGAAAGCUAUUUUCUCACUCUUGAAUUCUUAAAAAUGUCAUUUGUUCUAGGUUUUUUUCGCAUGUAUUUAUUAUUGAAAUAUUAAGAGACACAAAAAACAUGGAAAAGAAAAAAAUCAUUAUUUCAAAUUCCUAACCUAGAGAGAAUAAUUACUAAUACUUUUUCUUACUUAAUUGGCAAAAUAUAUAUUUUUUUGUAAUUUGAUUUUUCACUUCAUAUAGUUGCAUAUUUCUCCAUAUACUCCAUUUAAAUGUUCUUCACAAAUAUUGUUUAUGAUACAUGCUCUAUUAUAAUCUAUUUAAGUAAUCUAAACUUCCUGGAAAUUUAGGUCAUUUCCAAUUUUUCACUAUUUAAAAUAUCACAGGAAUGAACAUUCUUGAACAUUUGUAUUUAUGUACAUUUCUGAUUUUUUAAGAAUAAAUUCUUGAAAGUGGAUUUACAAGGCCAAAAGAUAUACAAUUUUAUUCUAAUUUAGUUGAGAAUAUUUUAAUGUAACUAAAAGAUUUAUCGAGAAUGUGGUAAAAUAAGAAGGAGGGUUUUGAAGGUGUGCCUGCCCAGAAUUGCCUGGUGGGCUCUGCUAGAUUCAUCAUCUUCCCUCUUUCUCAAGGACUUGUCUGUUGUGAUAUGGUUCCUGAGUGACGUUUGUCCUCACGAGGUGCUAGGACUGUCAGAUGUUAGGAGUGCUAAGCCUCUUACUUAUCUUUCUUUUUUCAUCCAAAAAAGCUGAACGUGGUGUCCUCACUAAAUGAUGGAUAAGUAUGAUGAACAGAUCCCAUUAUUUCCUCAUUCCAUUCACAUGAUGAAUGAGUUAGAAAAUGAAUGCAAUAUCUGAGCACCAGAGGAUCUGAUUGUCACAGUAUGAAAAGCCUUUUAGUGAUAACUGCAUACAUGCACCCAUAUUACUCCCAACAGAGCCAAUGCAAUCUAGUUCGAAUGGUAGAUGUACUGACUCCCAUGUGGGACCAUUGAUGUUUUUACAAACCAUUUGCAGCCCAGUAUCGCUGUGUUUUGCCAAGUUGCAUCCUCCCAGUGAAGUCCAAAUGGAACUAGAGAGAGAGGCUCCAUUUUUGCUGCAGUAGGAAAUAGACAAGGGAAAGUCUGGAUUACACUCCAAAAUUAUAAUGCAAACCUGCCCCAGAAAUGUGUAUUAUUUUUCUGAAUGUGUUCCAGCUGAACCACAGGAAAAAUAACAACCAAAGACCAUAAUGGCUCAUUGGUGGAUAUUGUGUCCCAUCUGUUGGUGGUAGUGAGAAAGGCUCUAGGCUGUCACAUCCAAAAAGCUUGCCGGUAAAAAAAAAGCCAAACUCCCCUCAUGGCAUUUUUCUGCCUAUGAACUCAUUUUGGAUAUCGUGUAUUAGGAAGAAAAGGUGUAAAAGUGGUUGAAUGUUGUUAUACACUUUUAUGAGGGGAAGUAAAAGUUUUACACGUUGCUUGGUUCUUUCUAGUGGAGGGGAUGAGAUGGUUUCAUAACAAGCAGCAGGCAAGGCUUUGUUGAGCCAAAGGCUUUGAUUAGGAUUUCUACAAAGUGCUAUAUUCUUUGGUUAACUCUUAAGCAUUUAGUAACUCCCUCCUUAAGGAAAAGGAUACACCUGAUUCUGUUUAUGGACCAGUGUGUUGGUCAUUGAUUCUUGCUCUUGCAGCUUCAGGAUUCUGGCUUAAAUCAGAUUUAGUUUGUGGAUACAAAGCUGAAUUCAACACCAGCCAGGCAUUAGCAUGAAAACUGAGUUGCCCCCAGGAAAUAUCCAUCUCAGACUCAAUAUGAAAACCUCAGUCACUGCAGAAGUGAGGCAUUUGUGCCUACACAAUCAUGCCUAUCCUUUGGAUUCUGGUUCUGCCCUGACCCCUCACUGGACUCAUGUCUGAAUCCUGACACAGCACAAGCACUGUGAGUGAAAUUAAAAGUACUAUUUUAGUCUUUAAAAAGAAUUAAAACAUCUGGGCCACAGCAAAGGCCCAGAGCAUGGGCAGAGCACUGGGGAAAAUCAUGGUGGGAACUCUAGAGGAACCUUGCAGUGGAGGUUUAGUGCCCAGAGGGACAGAUUUACUGAGAGCACAUGUGACUUACCCACUGUAGAUUUUUGGAGUCCUUGGUCAUGGGAGGUGGUAAGGAGCUGAGAGUGUUCAGGACAAGUAGAAUCAUGACCCAGUGAAAUUUGAGCUAUUUCUGUUAAUAUGACCUCAUUUACACACUGGGAAAUUAGAAUCCUCAAAUCAGCAUUCAGUUUGCAAGGUACUCAUGAGAAUCAUUUCGUUAAACAGUAUUAACAUUGCAGAGGCCUAAUGCUACAGAGACCUGAUAUUAACCAUACUGAGACCUAACUGUAAAUGAAAAUUAGGGGGACUAGUCAAACAGAACCAUGCUAAGGGGCAGAAAAGGUUUGAACUUGCUAUUUUUCCUCUCACAAUGUAUACACAGUGGGAAUAUGGCAUUUUUGCCCCAAGCCGAAUGGCAGUUUACCUCUGUCAUGGGGUUGGUGGGCAAGGUGGGGGAAUGUGUUCCAAAGUGUUAGGGAUUUUUAACUCACAUGAGGAUAUAAGAGGACUGGUUUUUUGGAUCUCCAUGUCAGUUAAAAAUGCGAACUAGUUCAGAGGAACACUCUGUGGUACAUGUCAUGCUCCUGAGCUUGGCGUGGGGUCAGGCUACGGCUGUCACAUGUAGAUUUACCAAGGUCCAGGCGGUGUUCUGAGUUCUUUACGUAUUAUCUUAUUUGAUCUUCUCAGUAACCCUGUGAGUCAGGGACUACUAUAACUCCAUUUUAAAGAUGAAGAAACUGAGACAAAGGGAGGCUAAGUAACUUACCCAAGAUCCUCUGGCUGGAUAAGUGGCAUACCUGGAAUGAAAACGUAAGCAUUCUGAUUCCAGAAACCAUACGCUUAAGAUGCUGUACAGAUGCUCUUAGUGGUCAUUCUCACCUUUUCGUAGAGUUCUUUCAAAGGCAUGGGAUCUACAAACGUGUGUGUGUGUGUGUGUGUGUGUGUGUGUGUGUAUUGGUGAGGUAUUGGAAGCUGUAUGGUGCAACAAAUAAAAAUAUGAGUCUGAUAUUUGAGGAAUUUUAUAUUUUUUGAAGAUAGUAAAAAAUUGAAAUAGAAUUUAAGGGUAUCAAGAAAUGGGCAUUACAAGUUCUUCAAAGUCAUUAAACCUUUCCUCUUGAAGGUAAAAGCCCUGUAUCCUACUCCGUGAUGAAGAACAGCAGCCUGAUUUAGUUUCCUACCCUUUGACAGAGUGACCCAUCACUGUGUACUCCCCACUUGGCAUGGAAAGGAUUAACUUUGAUCUGCUGAGCUGUAUUUUAUAAAUAGAAUUAAUCACAGGCUGUGGGGAGAUGAGGUCAUCAGAUUUACACCGAAGCUUUAAUGCAGUGCAGACAUUGAGGUCACAUCUGCUCAGCUCCUGUCCAAAUGGUGAAGCUUCCCUUCUGCAUGAAGUUACUUGGCCUGGACUCCUCAAACAAGGGCAUUAUUUUUCAAACAAGGGCAAUCCUUCUGCUUUCUGGUCCAUUUUAGAAUGAAUAGAGAGCCUGUUAGAGUAAAAGAUAUGUUUUCAUACCAUUAUUGAGGUCCAAUCACAGUUACAUUUUCUUGAAUUUUCAUGAAUUUUUCUACUACAACUUGCUUUUCUCAUUCGUAAGAGGAGGGGGAAUACAUUUUGCCUGUCCAUUUUUGCAUUCUCUUUGGGUUCCAGUACAUAGACUUGGUAAGGAACUAAUGAGCUACCUUAAGGCAGAGAAGCCCCAUUUCUGGGGCCUCAAGAAAAAAUUUAGUAGUUAUGCAUCUUUCAUCUGCAAAUAUAGAGAGAGUUUCUAACUUAAGCAAGGAUCCCCACAUUAUAAGCCAUCUUUUGUAUCUGAGAUUUUCUUGCCAGAACACACAUACACACUCAUACAUACCACGUGGAACUCCAAUAUUGAUAGAAGAAAUGGCUGGAGUCACUCCUGUAUCUCCUCUAUUCCCCACCUUUACUAUUUUCUACCCUAUAAGCAAGCUUAGUUCACAGCUAAUCAGUAAUGUGCAUUUAAGAUCUGGUUUCUUUCUGGAGCACAUUGGACUUAGAGUAUCAUUCAAAGCUGGAUUGAUUUCAGGCCACUCAGGUUUUCAGUACCUUCUAGGGCAGAACUCAGAGAGCUUGUUUGAUCUGUGAUCUCCUUGAGCGCUCUCUAACCCACUUAAGCUUGUCUUAAACACAAAUACAUUUGAGAGGAGACCUACCAUUUUGUGGCAGAAGAGGGCUGGAGGGUCAGGGAAAAUCCUCUUGGAACUGCUUAGGAUUGGAAUAGUCUUCUCAGAUCCACAGCACUCAAGAUCAGGCUCCUAAAGCCUGUAUAGGCAAUUGCUGGACUUAUUCAGAAGGGCCAUAAUGCCCUGCACUGCUGGAGGCAUACAUUCGGAGAAGUGAGUGCUCAUGGGACAGCCACUGUGUGUUUUAGAGGCAGAUAGAGCAUCUCUGGGUCUGUUAAUGUGAAGCUAGAGAUGGUUUACCAGUGGCCAACUACUUCACAGUACAGUCAUGCAGAAAGCACUCAAGUGUCGUGGGGUAAAGACGUCAGAAGGAAUUCACAAGUGAAAAUGCCAGUGAGUAGUCACAGUAAGGGCCUCAAAUAUACAGGAGGCUACAAACAUGCAGACCCAGUCAAAUAAAUCUGGUGAAGGGGUGGGUUAAUUUGGGUCCUUUAAGAAGCAGACUACAAGCCAGGAUUCAAUGUGACUGGGUUAUAUUAGAGUAAUCACCUGUUAGAGAAAAGGCGCAGGAAUCUAGGGGCGGCAGGGGAGCUGACAGACCGUGGCGCACCACGGGCAGGCAAAUUGGGUGGAGGCAUCACAGAUAGGUGACCUAAGGAAUGUCGAACAAGGCCUUUGGGGUAUCUCUGAAUCCAAAAUUGCCUAUUAGAGAAGUCCCAGGUCUCCCAGGAGUAGGCCUGCCUUAGUAUCCCUAUCACUUCAGUCAUCCACUGGCAACAGCUCAGGAAGUAUGAUCUCACUAUACAUACGGUGAUGGAUUUCAGAGUGCAGCAGCUGGGGCUCUAGGCCAAUUACAUUUUCUGUAGAGGUCUACAAGGAGCAUUCUCACAGCUGCUUCAAUAAAGGACUGACUUAGUGUGUUUAAAAGCAUGCCUGGAGCAUAAACACCACUAUCUGUAUGAAGGUGGAGAAGAGAGAUGCCAGUUUUCUGAGGACAGUAGAAGAGCCCUCUCCUUUAGUGAAAGAGAGCAGUCUCAUCUCCUUACAGUUUCUGCUUUGAGAGUGGAAGGGAGGAGGAGGCAGCGUUUGAAAUGGGAGAGAGGUAAACAACCAGCCAUGGGAGGUGGAGCUUUGUCUUCAUACCCAUCACAGAGCCAGCAAAGAGGAAUCAGCACCUUCAGCUCAGGGCCAGGUUGCAGCAAUGGUAGUAAACAGCCAUAAUGGAGAAGACAAUGGCUGGAAGAGGCGACUCCCGCAGUGGCAGCAGGGGUACAGCAGUUCUGCGGUGACCAACAAUGCGGAGCAGCAUCAUCCCUAGGUCAAGGCAAGGAGGGCCAAAAGUAGGGGUAACUGUGGCUGGAUUCCAUGGAUGCGAAUCAGAGAAAAGCAUGGAUCAGGAGCUCAGGGUUCCAGCCAUUUCACAGCUGCGGAGCACUCAGGGGCAGUUGGCUUUCCUAAUACCUGUCAUACUGCUCGUGCCAACGAAAGAAGUUUCCUUUUUCUCUUUAAGCACAAGUCAAGCAUGAUUAAACCAAGAAGUGACUGAAAAGGAUGUGGAAUACAGACUAUACAGUUAGAAAUAGUCUGACUUUGCAGAGCAGAAAACACUCAGUAAAUACAAACAGCAGGUAAAUAAGUUUCCCAUCUUGGUUCAAGAAGAACAUGGAGUGUGUUGAACAAGAAGAACCAACUCUUCAGAAAUAAAAUGCUCCUAGUCACUGGCUGGCAGUCCUUCAUUAUUUUUUUUUUUUUACACAGGCCCCACUGAGCCAAAUAAAGGGGAACUAGACAAAUUAGAGGGACCUGGGUCCCCAUUCCUGGAACUUGCUAGCAGGAGGGUAUCAAUCAGGCUUACUAAAUUAGCAUUUUUCUGAUAGCAAUGCACAAAGCCUUUUAAUGAUGACUUUGGAGUCUCUGAGCUUAGGCUCUUGACUGCCUGUUCCUAAGCAACAGAAGGAUUGGCAGAGAAUGUGUUUUGAUGUAUCAUUAAAUAAAGGCUGUACAAUGCUGAAAACUGUGGGCAGAAAUUGGGAUAAUUGUAUUUAUUUUUUGGUGUAUUAUGUUAAAAAAUAAACAAAAAUCCUUUAUGCCCUAGAAAAUGUGCUCUCACUUGUGUUUUGUCUCUCUCUUGUUUUUGAACACUACCUUUUUUUCCGCUCCUUUUCAUCCUGCAAUUUAAGCACAGAAUUUCUCCCUUUUUAUGGAUAGCAUUUCAAGCAUUUCUUCAGCUCUGUUUCUAUUACAGAAAAAUUGGAUCACAUAUUAUACUAUAAUGGACAAGG